GUGGGGAAUCUUGCGCAAUGGGCGAAAGCCUGACGCAGCCAUGCCGCGUGGAUGAUGAAGGUCUUAGGAUUGUAAAAUCCUUUCACCGGUGAAGAUAAUGACUGUAGCCGGAGAAGAAGCCCCGCCUAACUUCGUGCCAGCAGCCGCGGUAAUACGAAGGGGGCUAGCGUUGCUCGGAUUUACUGGGCGUAAAGGGCGCGUAGGCGGACAUUUAAGUCAGGGGUGAAAUCCCGGGGCUCAACCUCGGAACUGCCUUUGAUACUGGGUGUCUUGAGUAUGAGAGAGGUGUGUGGAACUCCGAGUGUAGAGGUGAAAUUCGUAGAUAUUCGGAAGAACACCAGUGGCGAAGGCGACACACUGGCUCAUUACUGACGCUGAGGCGCGAAAGCGUGGGGAGCAAACAGGAUUAGAUACCCCGGUAGUCC
rnacentral:rRNA from 1 species